GACGAACGCUGGCGGCGUGCUUAACACAUGCAAGUCGAACGGAAAGGCCCUGCUUUUGUGGGGUGCUCGAGUGGCGAACGGGUGAGUAACACGUGAGUAACCUGCCCUUGACUUUGGGAUAACUUCAGGAAACUGGGGCUAAUACCGUAUAGGAUCUCCUGCUGCAUGGUGGGGGUUGGAAAGUUUCGGCGGUUGGGGAUGGACGCGCGGCUUAUCAGCUUGUUGGUGGGGGAGUUGCUGACCAAGGCUUUGACGGGUAGCCGGCCUGAGAGGGUGACCGGGCUCAUGGCGACUGCGAUACGGCGCAGUCUCCAACGUGAGGCAGCAGUCGGGAGUAUUGCCCAAUGGGCGCGAGUCUGUUGCAGAAACGUCGCGGGCGUGAUGACGGCCUUCUGGUUGUAAACCGCUGUCGGCUGUGACGAAGCGGUAGUGACGGUAAUGAGUAAAGAAGCACCGGCUAACUACGUG
rnacentral:rRNA from 1 species